AACGUAGGAGACGAAGCGUUAUCCGGAGUUACUGGCGUAAAGGGGCGUGAUAGGCGGUUUGUUAAGGUUCUGGCGUGAAAGCUCUCGGCUAAAACCGGGGAGAGGUCCGUUUGGGAUACUGGCAAACUUGAGGAUGGUAGAGGCGGUGUGGAAUUCCGGGUGUAGUGGUGAAAUGCGUAGAGAUCCGGAGGAACACCAGUGGCGAAGGCGACACGCUGGGCCGCUACCUGACGCUAAAGCGCGACAGCAUGGGGAGCAAACGGGG
rnacentral:rRNA from 1 species